GGCUUAACACAUGCAAGUCGUGGGGCAGCAUAUAGAUAGCUUGCUAUUAUGAUGGCGACCGGCGCACGGGUGAGUAACGCGUAUCCAACCUUCCCCAUAGUAGGGGUAUAGCCCGGCGAAAGUCGGAUUUAAUCCCCUAUGUUGUUUGAAGCGGACAUCUAAUUCAAACCAAAGAUUCAUCGCUAUGGGAUGGGGAGUGCGUCUGAUUAGGUUGCAGGCGGGGUAACGGCCCACCUGGCCGACGAUCAGUAGGGGUUCUGAGAGGAAGGUCCCCCACACUGGUACUGAGACACGGACCAGACUCCUACGGGAGGCAGCAGUGAGGAAUAUUGGUCAAUGGGCGCGAGCCUGAACCAGCCAAGUAGCGUGCCAGGAUGACGGCCCUACGGGUUGUAAACUGCUUUUAUUGCGGGGAUAAAGUGCGGCACGUGUGCCGUUUUGCAGGUACCGCAUGAAUAAGGACCGGCUAAUUCCGUGCCAGCCGCCGC
rnacentral:rRNA from 1 species